GCGGGGUUAGUCCGCCCGGACCCCCGCAGCGUGGCCCCCGGAAGGACGAGGCCAGUGGCUUCUGCGUCCGCGUCGUGGGUCCGGAUGCUCCACAAGGAUAAAAAGGAGAAUGGCGGUGCGUUCAUGCAGUACGGUGCUGACGGUGUUGGACAGCAAUGGAAAAGAACCACGCUCUGCGGCAGGACGUGACCCGGAAGAGCCUUGGAGAUGGGCUGUAGCUUAUGUAUUAUAGCAAAGUCCGCAAGAUCGUGACACAUGGACCCUCUUUCUGGAUGCCUGACUGGCCACCAGAUAACCACAGUUGACUUAUGUCAUGAUUUUGGGGGUACUGUUGGUCGGGUGUUGUCCAGGGAUCCUGACUUGGUGCAGAUGGGAUGACCUCGCAGAUGGACAUCAGCCUUACAGACUUGUUAACUGGAUCUUUCAGGUUGCCUAGAACACCAGUUUCUUAGCAAUGGACUGAUCCUAACCACAUUUACCUGUUUCUGAGACACAAAUCUGGCUGCCAUUUUGUCAGCUUUACUGGUGUUUGGGGAGAGGGAAGAAUGUGCAUUCUAACUAGGACAUCCCUUCUUUCAGAUGCCAAUUUGAAGAUACUUGAUAAGCAUAACAUCCAAAUAGGUAAGUGGGUAUAAUUACUGAGAUUCUGGGAAGACAUAAGGACAUAUUGAUCUGCCACACAGCAUGCUAGCUAAUGGAAUUCUCUGAGCCUCAUAGACAUAAGUUCCCUUUCUGAACCCUGCUUUCUAGGCUGGCAUUUCCAUAGUGACAUGUUCUCUCUAUGCGUUAAAGGCACUGGUUAAACUGUAGUCUGGCUGCCAUUCCUUACUGCCUGGAAAAGUCCCGUGUUAGGUGUGGAUACAUUUGACCUGCUCUCAGUCCUCCUAGGCUCAUCCCUUUAUUACAGUCUAUAUUUUCAGGUUUGAUAUUUAUACCUAAGGUCUCAUCUCUUUUGCCAAGCAAGACCCCCAAAAAGCUAGGUACCCCCUGUGGGAACUGUCAGGCUCACUGAGUACAGUUGAACAGCUUGUGCACAACCCCAGGAAGUGCUAUUCAUAGGGAUUCCAUACCACCUGCUUGACUGGAGGUGGUGGCCUAGUGACCGUUGUUCACCUGCUGUGCUCCUGCUUGAAUAGACCUGAAUCUCCUGUUACUUGAUUUUUUUUUUUGGUUUGUUUUUGUCCCUGAGAGGAGUUUACCUUUGAGUUGAACUUCAGUGUUGUCUCUGUAGUACUCCCCCUACCAUUGUGGGUUUUUUCACUCAAAAUGCAGUAUUCCUCAUCUUGUGUGAUGAACAUGUAUCCCUCACCCUUUCUCUGGAUCGCUCUGAAUCUCUUCCCCUCUUUCAUAGAGACCUUGCUUCAUCAUGUCCUUUCCAUAAUUUCACCUACCCCUCCCGCUGGCUUUUUUUCCUCAGCAUGUAGAAUGUACCUGACUUAAAAAUAAUCAGCACAACUUUCUUUGGAGUCUUGCCCCCAUUAUCUAUUUUCCAAUACAACUACUUGAUCUGGUUCACUCCCGUGGCUCCAAAGUCAGUUUUAAAGUUAUGGCUUUCCUAUCUGCAUUUUCACUUGCAAUUUCUUUCCUAAGCUGCCAACCCAACUGUUCAAUCACACACCUGCUGCACUUUGUGGUUCCACAGCUUCUGAAUCUACAAAACUGAACUGUCCUCCCACCAGAGAUGCUUUUUUCCCCCUGUCCACUGCAGCGAGCAGCGCACAUCCACACCAAACCCUCAGCCUCCCUGGUGCAUCCUUAUUCUAAGGCCUUGCUGUUUUCCUCCAGAAUUACCUCACCACUUCCUAAAACUCAUCCCAGGCUCCUCUGACAUAUAAUCUAUUAACACUGCUCCAAAUAUGUUUUUCUGAAACACAUCUCUUUAUUAUUUUAUGCCCCUUCUUGAAAUCCUCCAGUGUUUCCCACCACAUUGAAGAUGGAAUCCAAACUUCUUGGCAUCGUGUAUAGAAGGCAUUUUAUGUUCUGGCCCCAUAUUUCUCUAACUGCAGCUCUUACCUCUGCUGUGUGCCAUUCAGCUUCAUGUCAGGACCAGGGUGCACUCCUCUCUACCCUCCACACCACCCUCUGUCCCCACUGUGCCCCUU